rnacentral:rRNA from 1 species
AUCUUGCACAAUGGGCGAAAGCCUGAUGCAGCAACGCCGCGUGCGGGAAGAAGGCCCUAGGGUUGUAAACCGCUUUCAGCAGGGAAGAAAAUGACGGUACCUGCAGAAGAAGGUGCGGCCAACUACGUGCCAGCAGCCGCGGUGACACGUAGGCACCAAGCGUUAUCCGGAUUUAUUGGGCGUAAAGAGCUCGUAGGCGGUUCGGUAAGUCGGGUGUGAAAACUCUGGGCUCAACCCAGAGAUUGCACCCGAUACUGCUGUGACUAGAGUGCAGUAGGGGAGUGGGGAAUUCAUGGUGUAGCGGUGAAAUGCGCAGAUAUCAUGAGGAACACCAGUGGCGAAGGCGCCACUCUGGGCUGUAACUGACGCUGAGGAGCGAAAGCGUGGGUAGCAAACAGG